UACAGAGGGGCUAGCGUUGUUCGGAAUUACUGGGCGUAAAGGGCGCGUAGGUGGCCUGUUAAGUCGAACGUGAAAUCCCCGGGCUCAACCCGGGAACUGCGUCCGAGACUAGCAGGCUCGAAUCCGGGAGAGGGAUGUGGAAUUCCAGGUGUAGCGGUGAAAUGCGUAGAUAUCUGGAGGAACACCGGUGGCGAAGGCGGCAUCCUGGACCGGUAUUGACGCUGAGGCGCGAAAGCCAGGGGAGCAAACGGGG
rnacentral:rRNA from 1 species